GUGAGGACAUAGAAACCUUCUGCCUCUGAGCAAAAAGAAGAGUUUGCCAGCAGUCAAGUGGAAAACGUUUGACUGAUAAGUAUAUCACGGUCCACUCCAGAGAAGUCAGGUACAGACUGAGCU
rnacentral:lncRNA from 1 species